rnacentral:hammerhead_ribozyme from 1 species
CUAACUGAAGGUCGAAACGCCGCGAGGCGUAUGCCGGUAUCGCCGGCACUGAAGAGACCACAUACGGA